CCUACGGGAGGCAGCAGUGGGGGAUAUUGCACAAUGGGGGGAACCCUGAUGCAGCGACGCCGCGUGGGUGAAGAAGGGCCUCGGAGCGUAAAGCUCUGUCAGCAGGGAAGAAAAUGACGGGACCUGAAGAAGAAGCCCCGGCUAACUACGUGCCAGCAGCCGCGGGAAAACGGAGGGGGCACGCGGUAUCCGGAUUUACUGGGUGUAACGGGGGCGGAGACGGCGUUGCAAGCAAGGGGUGAAAGCCCGGGGCCCAACCCCGGGACUGCUCUUGGAACUGCGUGGCUGGAGUGCAGGAGGGGCAGGCGGAAUGCCUGGUGUAGCGGUGAAAUGCGUAGAUAUCAGGAGGAACACCGGUGGCGAAGGCGGCCUGCUGGACUGCAACUGACGUUGAGGCCCGAAAGCGUGGGGAGCAAACAGGAUUAGAUACCCCUGUAGUC
rnacentral:rRNA from 1 species